rnacentral:tRNA from 1 species
GCCUGAGUGGCUCAGUCAGUUAAGCGUCUGACUUCGGCUCAGGUCAUGAUCUCAUGGUUUGUGGGUUCAAGCCCUGUGUCGGGCU